UACGGGGGGGGCAAGCGUUGUUCGGAAUUACUGGGCGUAAAGGGUUUGUAGGUGGCCCGCUAAGUCACACGUGAAAUCCCUCAGCUUAACUGGGGAACUGCGUGUGAGACUGGCAGGCUCGAGGGCAGGAGAGGAACGCGGAAUUCCAGGUGUAGCGGUGAAAUGCGUAGAUAUCUGGAGGAACACCGGUGGCGAAGGCGGCAUCCUGGACCAAAACUGACGCUGAAUAGCGAAAGCCAGGGGAGCAAACGGG
rnacentral:rRNA from 1 species